GGCUGAACGGCAGCAGCCGCACCACACAGGCUUUACGCAUUUACCAGGCGGAAGAAAAAGUAGUUCCCAUUAGGCAAGAUCUCAAUAAUUAUCGUCUGUAUUUCGUCUCAAACUCUGGACAAGGAAAAUGAGAGCUUCAGCGUACCCUGAGAAGCAGUUGGCGUUGGUCAGCACGUCUCUCUCAGACACCAGCGUCCCUCCACACACGUGCUGGCCGUUCUUCUGUAAGCUGGCCAUCCACGGCCACGCACCGGCCAACGCCACAGACACUCCACCCGAAAUCCUAGAAGCCAGUGGGGCCUGACCACAGACCACACCUGGAGGAGGAAAACACAGGCAUCGACUGAUGGUGGCGCCGAAGCUGCGGCUGCGUUAUGGAUUUUAGCCGGAGGCGCGUUCAGACUGCUGACGAUCAUCCUGUGUGAUCUGACGGUUUUCCGUCCUGAUGAGGACAAACGAACCGCAGCGUGGUAAAACAGAAACGCUGCACAGGAAACGCUUCCGACUUCAGGAAAAGAGCCGCCAAAAUAAAAGAGUUUCAUUCAGAAACAGCAGCUGCUUCCACCGAGCAGCAAACUGACAA